rnacentral:tRNA from 1 species
GUCGGAGUGGCGGAAUGGCAGACGCGCUAGGUUGAGGGCCUAGUGUCCACUUAGGACGUGUGGGUUCAACUCCCACCUCCGACA